UUACUUGCAUUCUGCUCACAUUUUCAAAUUCCCUCACUGUUCUCUCCCUCACACUGCAUUUUCAGUCACACUGGAUGAGCUGAAGCAUCAUAAUGUGCUUUGCUUUCACACUUUUGAAUUUUUGUAUGUGCUGUUCACGAUGCCUUAUAGAUAUUCUCUGUUCUGGUCCCAUAUACUUCUUUUCUAUUUUUUUUUUAUUUCAAGCUUGAGAUAUAAUUUAUGUAAAACAAAAGUUUUACUCUUUUAACUGUACAGUUUAAUGAAAUCUGAUAAAUGUAUAGAGUAAUGUACGUAUAUAAGCAAAUAUAGUGUCUCACCUACUAUAAAAUGUUGCAUUAUGACCCUUUUGUGGUCACAGUACUUAGGUAUUCCAAACCCUACUGACCUGAUUUGUGUCCCUGUAAGCUUUGCUGUUCCCAUGAUGUCUUAUGAAUGGAAUUAUAAGCAGACAACUUUCAUUUUUACUCUUUGCCCAGAAGCAGUGGUCUUUUGUCUGGAUCUGCUCUGUGCCACCCACCAUCAGGAAGCUUUUGAUUCUUUUCCUCCAUAAGAGGCAGUAGUUUAUUCUCUGGGAUCACAGCAUGUGCCAUUGGACUCUUCACACUGACAAGCAAUCUUACCAUGUUUCUUGGAAGAGACUUAACUUCUCCUAUAGAAAGGAAGCUGAGAAGACAUAAAGGUUCUGCAAUAACCUCUUUUCCAUUUAGAGAGAGCACAUCUGAAAAUGGAGCAUCCGUGAUAAACUGAGAAAAACCACAUCCUGCUGAUAUUUUUUGAGCCAAUAAUCAAGCUGUGUUUAAAGCCAAUCCUGUUGCUAGAUGUUCAGUUAAGUGAAAUAAUAUAUUCCCUUUAUUAAUAAGCUGGUUUAGGUCAGGUAUAAUGUCUUUUUUAUCUGAAGUAAUCUGAAUGAUAAUAGAAAACAAUCAUGUACAAAAAAGUAGAAGGUCCAUAUGGUGGUUGGGGAAGAUGACAAAAUUGAGCUUGGAGGGCAAAAGUGUCACAGCCUAUAUUUCACCAAAUCAGACUUACAGCAAGAUGAAAUCUUUUAUGAUUUUCCUCCAAGGAAGGAAGGGAGCCUAGGGGGUCUGGAUUAGUCUUGUCCCUUAUCAUCUCCUUUAGAUUUAUACACAUUCUUAAUGCAUAUUGGCAUUUAUAAUUUUAAAAGAAGAAAUGAAUCAUACUGGAUAAAAUUUAUGGAAAUUAAGCAGCCUGGGUUUCAUUCACUCAUACUUUGCCAAAAAAUAAAAGCAUAAAUAUCCCCAUUCAUACUUAAAUAUUAAUAAUGCUUAUAAAAACUAUAAUUUUCCCCCUUAACUCCAUUAUUUUCAAUCCUUUUGUUUUCUGGUUCUUUCUAACCUGGCCUGCAAAAAGCACUUAGUUAAGAGAUUUAUUCUGUAUUUGUUUGGGAACAUUUUGAGACUAGUUAUAAGCAAUCACUCUUGAAAGAAGUGGAGGAUGCAGCCAUAUGCUAAAUGUUCUGUAUUUCCCCAUUAAAGAAGAGAACAGAAUGGCAUUUAGGAGUCCUUCAUUCUUUUCCACCAUCUCAGAAUUAUGUGCUUCCACCCUAGGAGAUGUAAUGAGAAUGCUAAUUCAAGAGAAUGCUUCUGGUUAAGAAGUCAAAGACAAGAAAACAAUAUAAAACGCUUAAACUCAUUUUAAAGUCAACUUGUCAUUUCUUCUUACUCUGUGCUUUUCCCCUUGGGCUCUUUUAUUAAUGCUCAGGGCUUUGCCAGUCAUUGAGAAAUGACUUAUACAAUUAUUUCUCUAGCCCACUCUUCUCCCCUACGUCUCAAACUGGCACAGCCAGCCACUAAGUUUCUCUCUCUUUUUAAAUGUUUUAAAAGUAAUCAAAACUCAGCAUGUCUGAAAUUGAACUUCUCUCCAUCUUCCUUCUUCCACAUGACCAUAUUCAUUUAUUUCUGCUAAACAGUUCAGGAAAUUAAGGGUUUUCUGUGUUGCAUCCUAGUGUUUAAUCCCUUACAGCUCACGUUUGCCACCUAUGUUUUCUCUUAAAUCUGUUUGCUUUUCUCUCUGUCCUCACCAUAGCUAGUGAUCUGUUCAAAACUCAUAUCUAAUCACAUUACUACCAUCCCCUUACUCCACAUAUACUAUGCUGAAAAUAUUCAGUGUCAUGCCAAUGUUCCAGGACAUAGGUCAUUUUCCUUAAAAUUACCUGGAAGUCACUUCAUGGUCUGGACUUGCACUGUCUGAUAUGGUGGCCACUAGCUAUAUUUGUUUGAAAUAGAACAAGUCCAAAUUGAAAUAUACUGUUAAUGUAAAAUACACACUGAAUUUUCAAGGCUUUGUAUAAAAAAAUAAAACAGUAUUAAAUAU